GGUAGGUCUCUAGACGUUACAGAGAACCCCGAACAACCCAAACUGUUAAUCUUCAAUAUCGCUUUGUACUUACGAUCUUGUAUCCACUGACUGUCUUGUUAGAUUAACCCAAUAAAUUUCAUUCACUUCGCAUACUCAAUCCUAUAGACGCCCUUUUAAUCCUUCAAUCACAGACGUAACUCGAUUUCACAAAACAGUCAAGAGUAUUCAAACCCACUUCAUUAAAAAUCUCGAUUCACCAUUACAAUACUGACUUCAGCAGCGAUUGCCUCAG
rnacentral:lncRNA from 1 species